rnacentral:rRNA from 1 species
UACGGAGGGUGCAAGCGUUGCUCGGAAUCAUUGGGCGUAAAGCGUACGCAGGCUGUUCGUUAAGUCGGGUGUGAAAGCCCGGGGCUCAACCCCGGAAAUGCGCCCGAAACUGGCGAGCUUGAGUGCGGGAGAGGGAAGCGGAAUUCCUGGUGUAGAGGUGAAAUUCGUAGAUAUCGGAAGGAACAUCAGUGGCGAAAGCGACUUCCUGGACCAAUACUGACGCUCAUGUGCGAAAGCGUGGGGAGCAAACAGG